rnacentral:rRNA from 1 species
CACCAGGUUGAUUCUGCCUGACGUAGAUGCUAGUCUCUAAGAUUAAGCCAUGCAUGUUUAUGUAAUAAGGACGAACAGCUCAGUAGAACUACGAUGAUUUAGUCUGUUUGAAAAAGAUAACUACGUGAAAAUGUAGCUAAGAGAGAACAGAAUAAGACGUAGGACUAUCAGUUAGUUGGUAGUGUAAUGGACUACCAAGACGAUAACGGGUAACGGGGAAUCAGGGUUUGAUACCGGAGAGGGAGCCUGAGAGAUAGCUCCCACGUCCAUGGACGGCAGCAGGCGCGAAAAUUUCCCACUCUUUGUAGUUGGCAGUUAUGAGACGUGAAGUAGAAUAUUUCGUAAAGACGAAUAGGAGAAUUGGAGGGCAAGUUUGGUGCCAGCAGCCGCGG